rnacentral:rRNA from 1 species
GCAUCAAAUCAAUGAGCAAAUGAAGAGUGCAGCCAAUUGUAAUUAGCAUUGCAAAUUGCAGAAUCCCGUGAGUCAAUUUGAUCUUGAAUGUGAUUAUGCACACGGGUAGUCCUUGUGUGUGCCCAUUUUUCAACAAAAUGUUUGCAUGCUUGUUUCCAC